GACGAACGCUGGCGGCGUGCUUAACACAUGCAAGUCGAGCGCUGAAGCUUCCUUCGGGGGUGGAUGAGCGGCGAACGGGUGAGUAACACGUGGGUGACCUGCCCUCAGCUCUGGGAUAAGCCUGGGAAACUGGGUCUAAUACCGGAUAGGACCUUCUGUUGCAUGACAGUGGGUGGAAAGUUUUUUCGGCUGGGGAUGGGCCCGCGGCCUAUCAGCUUGUUGGUGGGGUGAUGGCUUACCAAGGCGACGACGGGUAGCCGGCCUGAGAGGGCGACCGGCCACACUGGGACUGAGACACGGCCCAGACUCCUACGGGAGGCAGCAGUGGGGAAUAUUGCGCAAUGGGCGAAGCCUGACGCAGCGACGCCGCGU
rnacentral:rRNA from 1 species